rnacentral:lncRNA from 1 species
CACAAAAUUAAUACUCACAUAUAUUUCAAAAGAAAGAAAAAAGAGAAAAUGGAUCAUUUAGCUAUAUGCUUUAAUAAUUAAAGUAUUGAACCACUUUUGGUUCCCAUUCUCCUCAAUAUGCCAGAUUCCUGCACUGGCAAAUUUUUGAAACACAAAGCUAACACAAAUCUUCUAUGAUACUUUCAAGAUGAGGUUGCCAGCUACGGCUGUGCCGGCGAUCUCGCCUCGAGCUUUUCAUCUCCUUAGACUCACAAUGUUUAUGUGACGAUGAUUUAUUAUCAUCGUCACAGUUCUUACUUUUCUCUUCAGAGGAGAAAUACACUUUCUUGUUUUCAAGAUUUUUUUCCGCGACGCUUCUCCUGACCCUCCGUUUUUUCUCCGGUAAUGACGUGGAUGGGAUCAAGAAGUAUAUGCUUCCUCUCUUGAGCUCAGUCUCCGGUGAAAGGAUGAGAAUCCGGCGAACAACUCCUUCGGAGCUUGGUUUGCUUAGAACAUGAUUUGGAUUGGCUUUAAGAACUUCCCCAGCUGAAAUUGGACGUGUAAUCUCUUCUACAUAUCCAUUUAAAUGAACUAUACGGAUCA